rnacentral:lncRNA from 1 species
CACAGGAGCCCAGUGAUGUCUCUUAAGAGCACAUGUGCUAGUAUGAGCUCAUCUUUAUUUCUAUGUCCUCAGAACAAAUGAGUGAAGCUUUCAAAUGAGAUCAUGUAAUGCAGGCUUCUAGGUUCUCCUUCAAAAUGUGAUCUAAGCUCUAAUAAGGUUAGAAGAUCUUUCUGGUAGUAGCAGUGUCUUCAUCAACUACCUCAGUGCUCUGUGGGUAUAAUGCAUAGAUAAGGGGUAAUGCAUUUAUCAGUUGCUGUAAUUGUUGUUUAGUAUCUGUGUUUUUAUAAAGUUUUCCAUGGUCAUCCUGCUGUCAGCCACUCUAUGAUCAGCUCACUGUAGACAUCUGUACGAAACAUGUUCCAGCAUGAUUUCUCUUGGAGUUCUUAUUGUCACAUUUUUUGUUUUACUUUCGUUAAUCUAAAAGGCUCUCUGUGGCUAUACAUGUAUUUUUGCUUUUCAUAUGGGGAAAUCUGAUGCUUGACACAAAAUAAAUAACAGGCUGUUCAGUGCUGAAAAUGCAGAUGGAUGCAGCAAUGCCUUGCAGUCCUUCCCUGUGCCAGAAAUAGCAGAAGGCAUUUCCUUAACUGGCUUUUUGUUGGCAGAGAAUUGAAUGGCACUAGAAAUACAGGGAGAUGCAGCGCCGGAUUCCUGGGGCCAGCUGUAGCUGGGCUUUGUGGUCCCAGCUGUGCCUGGAUGGACCAGCAGAGGCAGAGCCAGGACAUUUUCCUUGCAGACCUUGCUCCUAACUUAUUUUAG